CACGCCUUAAGUUGUGUUACAGCAGCACACUUUAAGGUGUGUUACUGCAGCACGCCUUAAGGUGUGUUACUGUAGCACAUCUUAAGGCGUG